AUGGGUUUGUGUUCAUUAUAGGAAAUUUCUGCAUAAUGUUCUGUCGCUAUUAGGUGUAGUAUUUAUUUUAUACAGUAACUUUCAUUCAAUCCAUCCUGAAUCAGUCCACAGAAAACAAAUGCUCAUAAGUGAUCCUGCUUUUAAAAUAUCGUAACAUAAACAGAAACUACAGUACAAAACAGCCUUUCAGACGACACCCACUAUCUAAAUCAAAGAUAAGCUACGUCCUUAAAUUUCAUUUCUUCUUUCUAUCCGCAGAUCACAAUCAGAAACCUCAGAUAAUUACAGAAACCCAGGAGGGAGGACAGGCAUUAGGGGACAGGGUGCACUCGGUCAACUGGGUCCAAAUCUGCAUUUAGACCUUGUGCUGACGCGGUAGGUCUCAGCUGCUUACAAAGCAUUUUAAAAGGUUAUUUAACUACAACUGGAUGAGAACUUGAUGUGAGACUUUGAUAUUAGGUGGCGAGACAGCACAAGAUCAGUUCUGGAGUUCUUGGCAGUUUGGGACGAAAGCCAGGGAACCUUGACUUUACCUGGAGGACCUGUCCAGUCUGCUGAUCACCUGCCCGUGACUCUUCAGAAAACCAUGGGAAAGACACUGUAUGAAAAAUUAAAUGCAAAAGUUUCAGAGGGAACAAAGGUAAGUCCGUUCAGCCUUUAGGUUUGAGCUUUAAUGUUCCUAGAUGGGCAUUAUAGUUUACAGACUAUACAAGCAAUGCUGUGCAUAGCAACAAUACAUUUCAUCAUCAAACCACUAGUAAAUAGAACAUAGAAAAUAAUUUGAUCAUUGUGUGACUGUGAUUUAGGUGCUUGAGGGUUAUGUGGAUGACUGCAGGAACACAGAUAAUGCCUGGGUGGAAACCACUGUCCUAAACAUCCACCUGGACAGAACGCACCAGGUGAUGGCGGACAUCAAUAGUACGGUGAGCAGCCAUGUCUUUCUUCGGUGGAUAGAAGUGAGCAGCAAAACAAGACUUAGCUCAGACCAAAGAGACUCUCUGCAGCGGGUUGCUGAGCUGCACAACAGGAAGUUCUGAUUUUCCCACAUUGCUGUAAACAUGCCUCCUCACACCUGUUUAAUGGGGCCUUAUGUAAAUGCUGACAUUGAUUGAUUUUGUUGCACUGAAUGCACUUGUGCAAAACGCCUAAAGACAAGACACUUGUAA
rnacentral:lncRNA from 1 species